AUUGAACGCUGGCGGCAGGCCUAACACAUGCAAGUCGAGCGGAUGAAGGGAGCUUGCUCCUGGAUUCAGCGGCGGACGGGUGAGUAAUGCCUAGGAAUCUGCCUGGUAGUGGGGGAUAACGUCCGGAAACGGGCGCUAAUACCGCAUACGUCCUGAGGGAGAAAGUGGGGGAUCUUCGGACCUCACGCUAUCAGAUGAGCCUAGGUCGGAUUAGCUAGUUGGUGGGGUAAAGGCCUACCAAGGCGACGAUCCGUAACUGGUCUGAGAGGAUGAUCAGUCACACUGGAACUGAGACACGGUCCAGACUCCUACGGGAGGCAGCAGUGGGGAAUAUUGGACAAUGGGCGAAAGCCUGAUCCAGCCAUGCCGCGUGUGUGAAGAAGGUCUUCGGAUUGUAAAGCACUUUAAGUUGGGAGGAAGGACAGUAAGUUAAUACCUUGCUGUUUUGACGUUACCAACAGAAUAAGCACCGGCUAACUUCGU
rnacentral:rRNA from 1 species